rnacentral:lncRNA from 1 species
GUUCAUUUGUUUGCCUUUUUAGCUCCUUCCAUUUCGGUAACCACUUAAGCCUUUGGAGGGUGAUAUGCAUGAAAACAAGGUACAGUACAUGCAAACAUCAAGCAUACACGCAUACAGCCAACGAUGAACAGCAUAUAAAAACUCAUCUACAAGUAGUUUUAUAUUUUCGUGAAGAAUUCCUGAGAUCCGUCUCAUUUGUUAUUCUAAUUUCUCCUCUACACACUUCAAGCUGAACAACAGGUAAAAUGGAAAGGGGUGGGUAUGGUGAUUGCUCUACUGAUCAAGAAAAAUCAGUCACUGUUGGUAUUAGCAAUUUGCUUCUGUCAUCACUUGCCCUUUGACUACACAAUAAAUGCAUUAAUUUUAAUAUAUUUGUGGGAACGGAAACACAUUUUUAUUUAUUUAUUUUGUUUAUAAUUAUUUAGUCUUCUAUUCCAUAUUGUCUUUUAUGGGGCUACUCCAACUCUGGAAGUUCUACUGCGCUUUUGGCAAAGCUAAUUUAAACUAUCUAUAUGGACCUAUUUCAAAAUACAAAAUAGCAAUAAGAGAAGAACAUCAAAGUUGUAUUAGGGUGUGUGUUUUCAUCCUGCACCCUCUUCUCAAGCUAAAUUAUUAACAGAAGCAUAUAAAACAAUUUCAUUUUAAUAUGUGGUUGUGAAAGAAAAUUAGAAGCAUUAAGCAAGUCUAUGGCUUCAGCUUAACAGUUAAAGAUGCUCUUUAAAAAAAAAAGAAAACAAUAUUUGCAAAUUUGCAGCAUCCAGGUGAACUUCCAAAAAUACUCCACUGACACCUUCAGUAUGAACUGGAUGACUCCUUCCUAUGAAAAUCAUAAGCACAUAGAAAACAUAGCAGGCUGCCUUGCACUGGGUAACUAGUUUCCUCAGUCCAGUUUAGCCCAAGGCCCUCGUUUGUGGUCUGGUGAGGCCUGGCCUUACUGAGACUGUCUCUGGGAGCUUCAAGCCAGCUUAAAGAAUGAAAAGGAUCCUAGGCAAUCCAGUCAGAAGCUAGCUAAAUUCUGAACCAGCCAAUCAGGAGAGUUGGCUGGAAGGAGGUAUCAACCAGUUGAAGGCUGGAGCACAGCCUUCUUGGCAGGCUGGAAGAUGGCAAUCUUCAAUCCCAUCUGUUGAGUACGUACUGUAUUUAAGUAGCACCCUGGCUUCCUUUCCAGACAGUAGUCAUUAAGUCUUGAUUGCAGCAGAACAAAAAUUGACACAGUAUGUGGAGCGGAUACCUGCAUCAGGUGACCCACCUGCCACCUGACACAUAGCUUGCCACCCUUGUGGAUUAACCAAAGACUGGCAAACCAAGUUGGGUCUCCUAGACCAGUGGUCCCCAACCUUCAACUCCCAGAAAUCCUGGCCAGCAGAGGUGGUGGUGAAGGCUUCUGGGAGUUGUAGUCCAAGAACAUCUGGAGGCCCAAGGUUGGGGACCACUGUCCUAGACGCUUCCCUAGGCCAGUACUGCCAGUUCUGACUGGGGGUGGUUCUCCAAGGUUUCAAGGCAGAGUUCUUUCCUGGGGAGCCUGGCAGUCUCCUAUCCAACCAGGUGCAGCCCUACUUUGUUUCCAAAAUCAAAUGAGAACAUGUAUGUUCCAGGUGGUCUCUUGCUGCAUAAAC